UUGUCAUAGAGCAGAGGUGUCAACUCAUUUUCAUUAAGGGCCACACUGGAAAAAGAAUCACACCAAGGGCCAAAAAAGUAGAGUUUAUUGACAAGCUUUUGUUACUUGUUUUUUAGCAUGCAUUUUGUUUCCUCC